GACGAACGCUGGCGGCGUGCCUAAUACAUGCAAGUAGAACGCUGAGGUAGGAGCUUGCUUCUCUGGACGAUUUGCGCACGGGUGAGUAACGCGUAUGUAACCUGCCUGUUAGCGGGGGAUAACUCUUGGAAACGCUAGCUAAUACCGCAUAAGAGUAGAUGUUGCAUGACAUUUGCUUAAAAGGUGCAAUUGUAUCACUACCAGAUGGUCCUUCCUUGGAUUAUCUAGUUGGUGGGGUAACGGCUCACUAAGGCGACGAUACAUAGGCGACCUGCGAGGGGGAAUCGCCAAACUGGGAAUGAGACAAGGGCCAAGAUUCUAAGGGAAGGAGCAGGAAGGAAACCUCGGGAAUGGGCGGAAGGCCGGACGAGCAAAGCCGGGGGAGGGAAGAAGGUUCUCGGGUUGGAAAGAUCCGGUGUAAGGGAAGAAAGAGUGUGAGAAUGGAAAGUGCACGCUGUGACGGUACCUAACCAGAAAGGGACGGCUAACUACGUG
rnacentral:rRNA from 1 species